CAGAGGAUACAAAUAUACCCACCCACUACCAUUUGAGUUUCCCCCUUUUGGAUAGUUAAGUAUGAAAGAGAUGCUAAGAAGUAUUGGGAUCAAUUCUACAGGCGGCAUCAAGAUAAAUUUUUUAAAGAUCGGCACUACCUGGACAAGGAAUGAGACUAAUACUU